rnacentral:sRNA from 1 species
CAUGAGAUCCAUUUGGUCUACACUGUAGAGCGAUGGGCACGUCCUUGCUCACAACUUCUUCCAUUGCUCCCACAUGACGCGGCACAUUUGAUGCUCGAUUCGAGACAACAUGCAUGUCUUGUGCAUGAUGCGGCAAAUUGAUGGUCAGUCAAUCCUGCUCAGAACAUUACAGAAUGGGAUAACAGAUAUAUGUGCAUAUUUACAUUAAGGAAACCCUGGAUUUCUCCCAUCUGGCUGAAAUUUCGAACAAUCUGUGGAUCAUCUCAGGAUGAAACACAUGCGAAAUUCUAUAAAUAACUCGAUCAACAGUUGGCAAAUAAAUGUGAACAAGAAAAAUUAGCCAAAUAAAAAAAUACACACAUACAUAUGCCCAUGUGUAUGCACAAAGUG